AGAAUUUGUCUAGCAGGUUUUCUGGUCUUCACUGGAAAGCCCCU
ensembl:snRNA U7 U7 small nuclear RNA